AGACCCGAAACCCGGUGAUCUAGCCAUGGGCAGGUUGAAGGUUGGGUAACACUAACUGGAGGACCGAACCGACUAAUGUUGAAAAAUUAGCGGAUGACCUGUGGCUGGGGGUGAAAGGCCAAUCAAACCGGGAGAUAGCUGGUUCUCCCCGAAAGCUAUUUAGGUAGCGCCUCGUGAAUUCAUCUCCGGGGGUAGAGCACUGUUUCGGCUAGGGGGCCAUCCCGGCUUACCAACCCGAUGCAAACUGCGAAUACCGGAGAAUGUUAUCACGGGAGACACACGGCGGGUGCUAACGUCCGUCGUGAAGAGGGAAACAACCCAGACCGCCAGCUAAGGUCCCAAAGUCAUGGUUAAGUGGGAAACGAUGUGGGAAGGCCCAGACAGCCAGGAUGUUGGCUUAGAAGCAGCCAUCAUUUAAAGAAAGCGUAAUAGCUCACUGGUCGAGUCGGCCUGCGCGGAAGAUGUAACGGGGCUAAACCAUGCACCGAAGCUGCGGCAGCGAACGUAUCACUUAAAGCGAUUCAGCGGGUUACGAUUGACGGAGCGAAGCGACGUCAAAGCGUAUACAAAGUCGAGUCGGUUUAAGGAUACGUUCGUUGGGUAGGGGAGCGUUCUGUAAGCCUGUGAAGGUGGCCUGUGAGGGUUGCUGGAGGUAUCAGAA
rnacentral:rRNA from 1 species